CUGCUGAAUUGUAUGACUUCGAUGAUGAGAAGGAGGAAAACAAGGUGGAUUUCAAGAAGAUUGUCAGUGACAAUUGGAUAGAACCUCCUAAAAGAGAGAGAAAACGCAAUUAUUCAGAGUCCGAAUACUUCAAGCAAACCAUGCGUCAAAGUGCCCCUGCAAGACCUAGAGAGCCUCGGAUUCCUCGGAUGCCACAGCUGCAUGACUUUCAGUUCUUCAAUACACAGAGACUGAGUGAGUUGUAUGAGAAGGAAGUGCGCUAUCUCAUGACACACCAGAAGAAUCAGGUUAAAGACACUAUAGAGAUGGAAGAAUCUGAAGAUGCAGGAGAGCCUUUAACGGCUGAAGAGCAGGAAGAAAAGGAGCAACUUUUGGAAGAGGGAUUUUCAAUGUGGAGUAGAAGAGACUUCAAUACUUUUAUCAGGGCUUGUGAGAAGUAUGGCCGCGAUGACUUAAAAAGUAUUGCUGCUGAAAUGGAAG
rnacentral:misc_RNA from 1 species